CCUACGGGGCGCUGCAGUGAGGAAUAUUGGUCAAUGGACGCAAGUCUGAACCAGCCAUGCCGCGUGCAGGAAGACGGUUCUAUGAGUUGUAAACUGCUUUUGUCCGAGGGUAAACGCAGAUACGCGUACCUGUCUGACAGUAUAGUACGAAUAAGCAUCGGCUAACUCCGUGCCAGCAGCCGCGGUAAUACGGAGGAUUCAAGCGUUAUCCGGAUUUAUUGGGUUUAAAGGGUGCGUAGGCGGAUUGUUAAGUCAGCGGUAAAAUGUCCGGGCUCAACCCGGGCCGGCCGUUGAAACUGGGGAUCUUGAAGGGGCGAGAAGUAUGCGGAAUGCGUGGUGUAGCGGUGAAAUGCAUAGAUAUCACGCAGAACUCCGAGUGCGAAGGCAGCAUACCGGCGCCCGACUGACGCUGAGGCACGAAAGCGUGGGGAUCGAACAGGAUUAGAUACCCUUGUAGUC
rnacentral:rRNA from 1 species